UAGGGAAUCGUUCCACAAUGGGCGAAAGCCUGAUGGAGCAACGCCGCGUGUGUGAUGAAGGGUUUCGGCUCGUAAAACACUGUUGUAAGAGAAGAAUGACAUUGAGAGUAACUGUUCAAUGUGUGACGGUAUCUUACCAGAAAGGAACGGCUAAAUACGUGCCAG
rnacentral:rRNA from 1 species